rnacentral:rRNA from 1 species
UACAGAGGGUGCAAGCGUUAAUCGGAAUUACUGGGCGUAAAGCGUGCGUAGACGGUUGCGUAAGUCAGAUGUGAAAGCCCCGGGCUCAACCUGGGAAUUGCAUUUGAGACUGCGUAGCUAGGGUGCGGAAGAGGGAAGCGGAAUUUCCGGUGUAGCGGUGAAAUGCGUAGAUAUCAGGAAGAACACCCGUGGCGAAGGCGGUUCUCUGGAACGCAACUGACGCUGAGACGCGAAAGCGUGGGGAGCAAACAGG